rnacentral:rRNA from 1 species
GACGGAGGGUGCGAGCGUUAAUCGGAAUUACUGGGCGUAAAGCGCAUGUAGGCGGCCGAACAAGUCAGGUGUGAAAUCCUCGGGCUUAACCUGGGAAGUGCACUUGAUACUGUCCGGCUAGAGUUUGGCAGAGGAAAGUAGAAUUCCCGGUGUAGCGGUGAAAUGCGUAGAUAUCGGGAGGAAUACCAGUGGCGAAGGCGGCUUUCUGGGCCAAUACUGACGCUGAGGUGCGAAAGCGCGGGCAGCAAACUGG